UGACCUACGGGAGGCAGCAGUGGGGAAUAUUGCACAAUGGGGGAAACCCUGAUGCAGCGACGCCGCGUGAGUGAAGAAGUAUUUCGGUAUGCAAAGCUCUAUCAGCAGGGAAGAAAAUGACGGUACCUGACUAAGAAGCCCCGGCUAACUACGUGCCAGCAGCCGCGGUAAUACGUAGGGGGCAAGCGUUAUCCGGAUUUACUGGGUGUAAAGGGAGCGUAGACGGCAGAGCAAGUCUGAAGUGAAAGCCCGGGGCCCAACCCCGGGACUGCUCUUGGAACUGCGUGGCUGGAGUGCAGGAGGGG
rnacentral:rRNA from 1 species